UGUGUGUGGACUGACGAGGACGUCAGGGCCUUAACGGGGGGAAUCUGUCACACCCCAAUAGUCCCACAUCGGAUAGGAAUGGGGAUGUGAUUGGGUAUAUAAAGGACUUAGGCACUAGUAAUAAUAACUGGGCUUAAGCAUUUUGGGCCGGUGGUUAGGCCCAACAAGUUAUUAUUGCUAGUGGGCUGGGUCGUUACAUUUAAUUUUAUAAACCAAGAUAAUUGGUGGGUUCAAGAGAUUAGCUCUUGAGUCAAGGAUAGGAAUGUGAAAGGGUGUAAAUGGUUGGAAAGUACGGUAUACUUAUGAAUGGUUGUUGAAGGUUGGAAGGCAUUGAUGAAAGUCAACAUGCAUGCAUAAAAAAUUUUGGGCUAUGUGAGUUGCAUGAGGAUGUUACGAGAACACAUGUAAAAACAUAAU
rnacentral:lncRNA from 1 species